rnacentral:rRNA from 1 species
UACGGGGGGGGCAAGCGUUGUUCGGAAUUACUGGGCGUAAAGGGCUCGUAGGCGGCCAACUAAGUCAGACGUGAAAUCCCUCGGCUUAACCGGGGAACUGCGUCUGAUACUGGAUGGCUUGAGUUCGGGAGAGGGAUGCGGAAUUCCAGGUGUAGCGGUGAAAUGCGUAGAUAUCUGGAGGAACACCGGUGGCGAAGGCAGCUCGCUGGGACGGUACUGACGCUGAGGCGCGAAAGCGUGGGGAGCAAACAGG